rnacentral:lncRNA from 1 species
ACCCAUUAUUAUUGCUUCCGAGGCCUAAUUAUCAUACACUUUCCAACACUUCAAGGGUAAAAUUUGGAUAAGUUUUAUGGUAAUUCACCAUACUGAGACUUCUAUAAAUCUUCACCUUACAAGGAGAUCAAGAGCAAAUGAACAUGAAACGAGCUAUGAAUAUAUGUACCAGGCUGUACAAUAGCUUCAGUCCCAGAACCAUAUACUUCCGUUAUCACCUUUAUUCGUACAUACAUACAUAGAAACAAUUUUAGUUAAAUGAAGGUGAGCUAGGUAGUUAUACAAUCACAGAAAAGGGAUUCAGAUAAAUUUGUUACCUCCAGUCACCAUUACACCAUCCUCGUUCACAGCCACUACGUUAAUUAUA